UCCGUAGGUGGAUAAUUAAGUCAGGGGUGAAAGUCUGCAGCUCAACUGUAGAAUUGCCCUUGAUACUGGUUGUCUUGAGUCAUUAUGAAGUAGUUGGAAUAUGUAGUGUAGCGGUGAAAUGCAUAGAUAUUACAUAGAAUACCAAUUGCGAAGGCAGAUUACUAAUAAUGUACUGACACUGAUGGACGAAAGCGUGGGGAGCGAACAGGAUUAGAUACCCUGGUAGUCC
rnacentral:rRNA from 1 species